GUGAAGUUAAUUUUAAAAAUAUAUUUUAGUUAACCCAGUAUACAAAAAUAUCAUUUCAAUCAACAUAAAAAUUAUUAAUGAACUAUUUUGCUUUUUUUUGUAGUAAGUCUUCCAAAUCUAGUGUGCAUUUUAGACUUAAACAGCACUCCCAAGUCAGACGCUAAAUUUUCAUUGGCAGUACUUGAUCUUUAUUUAGAUUUCAUAAAAUUCCCAGUUGAAAAAGUAGAUUCACAUACCCAAAGUGUUUCAAACAUAUAUGAAGGUUUUCUAAUAACUGAAUCAAGCACCAGUCUUAAAUUUAAAUGAAUUAAAAUGAAAGAAAAUUUAAAAUUCAAUCCCUCUAUUCCAUGGGCCACACUUCAAAGGCUCAGUGGCCACACAUAGCAAAUAGCUUUGGUCCUGGGCAGAACAGAUCUAGAUGAACAGCUGAGGGUGGCCCAGACUGGACCCAGCCGUGGAAUAGAACAACGGUCUGCAAACUUAUUUCUAUAAAGGGCCAGAUAAUAAAUAUUUUCAGCCUUGGGGGUUACACAGUCUCUCAAAGUAUUCAACUCUGCCAUUGUAAAUGAAAGCAGCCAUAGAAUGAAUGAGCAUCGCUGUGUUCCAAUAAAA
rnacentral:lncRNA from 10 species